CGUGAGAAGAGUGGACAGAUGUUUUUUAUGAGGGCGGAAACGGUUCGAUACAGAUUGAUUAUGUAACGUUUCCAAGUUUUAGUCGCCAGUGAGAUGAAGAGAUGAGGAACUUCGACGGCGAUUAGGAUUAUUUGUCUUGGCGGAGUUUACAAAGGUAGGGGUGGGCGUUCGGGUACCCGUUCGGGUUCGGAUCGGGUAUUUCGUAUGUAGAACCCGUUCGGGUAUUUCUAUACUUCGGGUCGGAUUCGGGUAUUUUUAGUUCGGAUUCGGUUAUUUCGGAUCGGGUUCGGAUAUUUAGAUUUUGAAAAAAAAAAUUAAAAUUUUCAUUUCUCAAGUUUCUUGUAUUUAAAAU
rnacentral:lncRNA from 1 species